rnacentral:rRNA from 1 species
AGCAGCCGCGGUAAUUCCAGCUCCAAUAGCGUAUAUUAAAGUUGUUGCAGUUAAAAAGCUCGUAGUUGAAUUUCGGGGCCAGUAGGUUGGUCGUGCCACUGGUAUGCACUGGUCUCACUGGUCCCUCCUUCUUGUAGAACCGUGAUGGCAUUAAUUUGUUGUUGCGGGGAAACAGGACUGUUACUUUGAAAAAAUUAGAGUGCUUAAAGCAGGCUCGCGCUUGAAUACAUUAGCAUGGAAUAACGAAAUAGGACGAUCGAACCUAUUUUGUUGGUUUCUAGGAUCGACGUAAUGAUUAAUAGGGAUAGUUGGGGGCAUUAGUAUUCAAUUGUCAGAGGUGAAAUUCUUGGAUUUAUUGAAGACUAACUACUGCGAAAGCAUUUGCCAAGGAUGUUUUCAUUAAUCAAGAACGAAAGUUAGGGGAUCGAAGACGAUCAGAUACCGUCGUAGUCUUAACCAUAAACUAUGCCGACUAGGGAUCGGAUGAAGUUAAUUUUUUAAUGACUCAUUCGGCGCCUUACG